rnacentral:rRNA from 1 species
ACGAACGCUGGCGGCGUGCUUAACACAUGCAAGUCGAACGGUGAAGCUCCAGCUUGCUGGAGUGGAUCAGUGGCGAACGGGUGAGUAACACGUGAGCAACCUGCCCCUGACUCUGGAAUAAGCGCUGGAAACGGCGUCUAAUACUGGAUACGAGAAGGGUCCGCAUGGGCACUUUCUGGAAAGUUUUUCGGUUGGGGAUGGGCUCGCGGCCUAUCAGCUUGUUGGUGAGGUAAUGGCUCACCAAGGCGACGACGGGUAGCCGGCCUGAGAGGGCGACCGGCCACACUGGGACUGAGACACGGCCCAGACUCCUACGGGAGGCAGCAGUGGGGAAUAUUGCACAAUGGGCGAAAGCCUGAUGUAGCGACGCCGCGUGAGGGAUGACGGCCUUCGGGUUGUAAACCUCUUUCAGCAGGGAAGAAGCGAAAGUGACGGUACCUGCAGAAGAAGCACCGGCUAACUACGUG